GACGAACGCUGGCGGCGUGCUUAACACAUGCCAGUCGAACGGAAAGGCCCUGCUUUUGUGGGGUGCUCGAGUGGCGAACGGGUGAGUAACACGUGAGUAACCUGCCCUUGACUUUGGGAUAACUUCAGGAAACUGGGGCUAAUACCGGAUAGGAGCUCCUGCUGCAAGGUGGGGGUUGGAAAGUUUCGGCGGUUGGGGAUGGACUCGCGGCUUAUCAGCUUGUUGGUGGGGUAGUGGCUUACCAAGGCUUUGACGGGUAGCCGGCCUGAGAGGGUGACCGGACACAUUGGGACUGAGAUACGGCCCAGACUCCUACGGGAGGCAGCAGUGGGGAAUAUUGCACAAUGGGCGGAAGCCUGAUGCAGCAACGCCGCGUGCGGGAUGACGGCCUUCGGGUUGUAAACCGCUUUCGCCUGUGACGAAGCGUGAGUGACGGUAAUGUGUAAAGAAGCACCGGCUAACUACGUG
rnacentral:rRNA from 1 species